AGAGUUUGAUCAUGGCUCAGAUUAAACGCUGGCGGCAUGCCUUACACAUGCAAGUCGAACGGCAGCACGGGGGCAACCUUGGUGGCGAGUGGCGAACGGGUGAGUAAAGCAUCGGAACGUGCCCUGGAGUGGGGAUAACGUAGCGAAAGUUACGCUAAUACCGCAUAUUCUGUGAGCAGGAAAGCAGGGGAUCGCAAGACCUUGCGCUCUGGGAGCGGCCGAUGUCGGAUUAGCUAGUUGGUGGGGUAAAGGCCUACCAAGGCGACGAUCCGUAGCGGGUCUGAGAGGAUGAUCCGCCACACUGGGACUGAGACACGGCCCAGACUCCUACGGGAGGCAGCAGUGGGGAAUUUUGGACAAUGGGCGAAAGCCUGAUCCAGCCAUGCCGCGUGAGUGAAGAAGGCCUUCGGGUUGUAAAGCUCUUUCGGUGGGGAAGAAAUUGCAUAGGCUAAUACCCUGUGUAGAUGGCGGUACCUGGAGAAGAAGCACCGGCUAACUACGUG
rnacentral:rRNA from 1 species